rnacentral:rRNA from 1 species
UACGUAGGGGGCGAGCGUUGUCCGGAAUUACUGGGCGUAAAGGGUGCGUAGGCGGCCAUCCAAGUCAGAUGUGAAAUACCACGGCUCAACUGUGGGGGUGCAUAUGAAACUGGGGGGCUUGAGUGCAGGAGAGGGAAGUGGAAUUCCUAGUGUAGCGGUGAAAUGCGUAGAGAUUAGGAGGAACACCAGUGGCGAAGGCGACUUUCUGGACUGUAACUGACGCUGAGGCACGAAAGCGUGGGGAGCGAAC